ACCUGGUUAAUACCCGGGAUAAGUGGACGUUACUCGCAGAAUAAGCACGGCUAACUCUGUGCCAGCAGCCGCGGUAAUACAGAGGGUGCAAGCGUUAAUCGGAUUUACUGGGCGUAAAGCGCGCGUAGGUGGCUAAUUAAGUCAAAUGUGAAAUCCCCGAGCUUAACUUGGGAAUUGCAUUCGAUACUGGUUAGCUAGAGUAUGGGAGAGGAUGGUAGAAUUCCAGGUGUAGCGGUGAAAUGCGUAGAGAUCUGGAGGAAUACCGAUGGCGAAGGCAGCCAUCUGGCCUAAUACUGACACUGAGGUGCGAAAGCAUGGGGAGCAAACAGGAUUAGAUACCCUGGUAGUCCAUGCCGUAAACGAUGUCUACUAGCCGUUGGGGCCCUUGAGGCUUUAGUGGCGCAGCUAACGCGAUAAGUAGACCGCCUGGGGAGUACGGUCGCAAGACUAAAACUCAAAUGAAUUGACGGGGGCCCGCACAAGCGGUGGAGCAUGUGGUUUAAUUCGAUGCAACGCGAAGAACCUUACCUGGCCUUGACAUACAGAGAACUUUCCAGAGAUGGAUUGGUGCCUUCGGGAACUCUGAUACAGGUGCUGCAUGGCUGUCGUCAGCUCGUGUCGUGAGAUGUUGGGUUAAGUCCCGCAACGAGCGCAACCCUUUUCCUUAUUUGCCAGCACUUCGGGUGGGAACUUUAAGGAUACUGCCAGUGACAAACUGGAGGAAGGCGGGGACGACGUCAAGUCAUCAUGGCCCUUACGGCCAGGGCUACACACGUGCUACAAUGGUCGGUACAAAGGGUUGCUACUGCGCGAGCAGAUGCUAAUCUCAAAAAGCCGAUCGUAGUCCGGAUCGCAGUCUGCAACUCGACUGCGUGAAGUCGGAAUCGCUAGUAAUCGCGGAUCAGAAUGCCGCGGUGAAUACGUUCCCGGGCCUUGUACACACCGCCCGUCACACCAUGGGAGUUUGUUGCACCAGAAGUAGGUAGUCUAACCUUAGGGAGGACGCUUACCACGGUGUGGCCGAUGACUGGGGUGAAGUCGUAACAAGGUAGCC
rnacentral:rRNA from 1 species